rnacentral:lncRNA from 1 species
AGCCACUCUCUUUUCACAUCAAACUUUGAAGCGCUGCAAAAGAAGUCUCUUGGUAUAUCAGCAUGCUGUGGCACUGUGUGCAUCCUGUGACAUGCUGUCUUGCAUGGAAAAACUAUCCUUUUGUUAUAGAGCACCCGUCCUGUACUUUGCUCUUCUAAAAUACCAGAUGUAUGCUACAUGUGGUAGGCAGUCUUGACCCUUGGUAUUUUACUUAGGAGAGGGGUGUGUGUGAAAGGAAAGGAAAAGAGAAGCAAUGAUGCUGUCCUUGUUCUUGAACUGAAUUCUGUGCACUUCAGGGCAGCGGAGAUGGGGAUCAGGACAGGGGUGGGUACAAAGAAUGGGAAAGGUGCUGCAGCACUGGCCUCCUCGAACAGGACCCUAUGCUGGUGACCUGUAUAGUGGCUGGAGAGUGUUUCAGAAGCAUUUUGAUCCCAUCAAAGGAGCUAGCAAGAGAAUAAGACUAUCAGAAGUCCUUAGUGCUUUCCAGAAUUCAUAAUCUUUACUCAGAAGAUGCCUCCAUCAGCUGGAGGUAGAAGCCAAUAGCCAUACUAUAAAAGAACUAAACAAUGGGUACUGUUUUAGGAUGCUGGAUGCUGGGAUGCCUGGAAAUAAUUGAGUGUUGAAGAAAUAAACUUACGCCUCCCAGCUCACAGAAGACCUUGCUACUGCUCCUUCAUCAGAAAAAAGGAGGAAAGUAAGAAAAGAUAUGGGUGCUUUCUGCAUGUCCUAAGUCAGCAGCCUGUGAUUUCAGAGCAUGCAGAGCUGAGCCCUAAGGUCAGGGACUUGUGUGGCUGCAAAGGUCAGCUCCUGACUGACCUUUUUGUCUGUCCUGGUGGCCUUCAGAAAACCAGUGGAUCCCAUGCAGCUGGAAGCACUGUCAUUGCCAUCGGAGUUUUGAAAGGGCAGAAGCACCAUGGUCAAGUUGUUUCAGCAUGAGCGUCCAAGUGAAUUGUGGAGUCGGUGCCUGAGCAUUCAAGGAAAACGGAGCCUCUAGGAAGUCAAUAUAUGAAGUAGGAAUAUUUGUGUGCACGU